rnacentral:rRNA from 1 species
UACGGAGGGUGCAAGCGUUGCUCGGAAUUAUUGGGCGUAAAGGGUAGGUAGGUGGUCUCAUUUGUCUGGGGUGAAAGCCUUGAGCUUAACUCAAGAAGUGCCCCAGAAACGGUGAGACUAGAGUACUGGAGAGGGUCGUGGAAUUCCCGGUGUAGCGGUGAAAUGCGUAGAGAUCGGGAGGAACACCAGAGGCGAAGGCGGCGACCUGGACAGUAACUGACACUCAACUACGAAAGCGUGGGGAGCAAACAGG